CCUAACAAAUAAUAAUUUAGAAAUAUCACACCAUAUUAUUAAUAUGAUAGCACCAACAGAAAACAAAAGAACAAUAUAUGUCUCAUAAUUGUAGAUAAAAUAGAGUGGCUGCAUGUGAAUAGAUGCCAUAAAGUCUAAUUUUUGUUCCAUAGAGAGAUAAAACAUAAUGAAAUAGCAAAAGCAAAAGAGAAAUUGUGACAGUAAUCCAAUUUCUUGUUGAUUUAUGAAGUGGACGCGUCGUGAGUCAUUCCCCAGCUGCGAAUCCCAAAGAGCAACUCUCCUGAGGCAAUCAAGAAUUCCAUAGCCUGCUGUUGUGACAGCAACCUCACCACGCCCUUCAAUGUUCUCAUCCGAAGAUCAUCUGCUUUUUUUAUGAUGGGUAUCAGCUCUGUGAUCUUCUCGCUCAUAUCCAUCUCACGACUCAUCAUCUCGCUUGCACUCUCCUGCCACUCUGCUAGCUCCUCUGUGAUCUCAUUCUCCUCUUUCACCUUCAUCACAAAAAUUAAAAACAAAACAAGUCACGUGAACAUUUUACUAAAGCAUCAAAUUUCAUUUUACUCUGUCUGUCUUGUCUCUGCUUCUGUCUCAUUGCAGUAAACGACAAAUGUGCUGCUACUUUUCUUCUAACACAGAAUUUAAAUCUUUAAAACUACUCCAUAUUGUUAACAAUUCAUAUAAUUUCUUCAAUGAAAAAAAGAACCACACCAAUGAUAAUCUGGAAAACCCUGCAUGCAUGUUACUCUAAAUGGUUCUAUAGCAGAAAAUUUUAAACAAGAUUAAAGAGUGAGAAAGAAGAAGAUAAAAGAGAGAGAGAGUGUUAGAUACAGUUUCACACUGGAGUUCGCUCAUGAGACGAAACUGGGAGGAGCUGAGGUCGCCGAGGUCUCCGGUGCGGAUGCCAUAGAGGAUAUCAAUGAUGUGAGUCUCAAAGAGGAGGGCAGACUCGGUGUAGAUGAGGUGGAAGAUGGUGGUGGGGCGCCAGCCAGUGAUCCAGUGGAGGGAGCGCUCAAGGGUGGUGGUCCAUGGCGCCAGGAACACGCUGAGAGGAUCUCUCUCCACCUCCUCCCAUUUUUCUACAAAGUAUUCUUGGUGCUGUUUCAUGACCCUUUCCAUGGCUUCUUGAGUGUGUUCAUCCUUCAAAUCCUUCACCAUGACCUUCAACUGCACGAACCAAAAUCUGUGAAAGUUGGCGAAAGAAGUGACCAUGGCAAUACUUUUGGGUUUGUGAGAGUUUGGCUUUGGUAAUUAUUUAUGGCUGUUGUGGUUGUU
rnacentral:lncRNA from 1 species